AUCUCCUGCCUUAGGAGUGCACUCUUUUUCAGGGUGUGCAAAGCUUCAACAUUUCAAGCCAUAAUCAGUCUCCAAAGAGACAUAGUAUUUCUCAUUCUCCAAAUAGUAAUUCUAAUGGCUCCUUUCUUGCACCAGAAAUGGAGCAAUUGUUCCUGAACUGUGUAUUGACCAUUUGUGGACAGAAACGAUUACUAAUAUAAGAGAGAAAAAUUCACAAGCCUCAAAAGUGUUUAUUACAUCUGACCUAUGUGGGCAAAAGUUCUUGCUUUUUAGUAGAGUCCAGCUCCACUUACGCUGUGUAAAGUUUCAAGAGAGUAAUGAUAAAACCCACCUCAUCUUUGGUUCAGUGACCAACAUACCAGCAAAGGAGCAGCACCAGUGGAGGUAAUGUAGGCACAUUCGAGAAGUUGACAAUUACGCUUCAUCAGAUUUUUCAGUCAAAAAAUCUGUUAAUUUGCUCAGAUUGAGAAAUACAUUUUUUGUCUUUUUUUUUUUUUUUAAGAAAAUAGACACCAUGCUGGUCUUGGAAGGCAGUGGAAACCUGGUGCUAUACACAGGAGUGGUUCGGGCUACAGAGUGCGGUGGCGCCAGCACAGAACUCUGCUCAAUGUCCCUCUGUGCUUUCACGAUGCUGAUGGAUUAUGAAGGUAGGGAAGAAUGUACAGCCAGGAGGCCAUUAGGAGGGCAACUAAUUUAUAAAAUCACAUUUGUAGAAUUUAAUGCAUCCAACAACUACCAGGCGAAAGGUGGGCAAAAGCUAUACCAACACCACCCAACUCAAAACCAAAACAACAGGAAAAGAAAAUUAUGUGGAUGUAGAAUUUCUGAAAACAUCAUUCCCAAGGUGCCUUAUCCAAGAGGAACUGCUACAAUAAUAUUUUAAGUGGAAAUAAAUACAUGCUGGAAGCAUUAUAUAUUAGUAGAGUUUGUUUUUUUUUUCCCAAAGUACUUUCUCAAGCACAUCAACAUAAGCCCCCUAGGAGACAUUUCACAUUAAAAAUAAAACGUCUGCCCACUGCUGGUUUCUCAAUUUGCCUCCACCUUCUGUCCCCUUUAAUGAACUGGGCCAUGAGGUGAGUCAGAGAGGAUAAAGGGAGUGGUAAGAAUUUGAGGAGAGAAGAGAGUGAGGCUAAAAUAGGAAAUCAGGAAAUGCGAUUCGGUCCCCCUGUCCCUCACAUGGGGCCACCCUCUUGUUGCCCAGUGUGGCUUCUUCUUGAGGGUUCUGCAUGGUUCCUCAAUCCCAGGGAAUUCCGCAGGACGUUCCAUCCAAGACCACUGGGCUCCCACCUCUACUCUUUUGCCAG
rnacentral:lncRNA from 1 species